UACGUAGGGUGCAAGCGUUAAUCGGAAUUACUGGGCGUAAAGCGUGCGCAGGCGGUUUUGUAAGACUGUCGUGAAAUCCCCGGGCUCAACCUGGGAAUGGCGAUGGUGACUGCAAGGCUAGAGUUUGGCAGAGGGGGGUAGAAUUCCACGUGUAGCAGUGAAAUGCGUAGAUAUGUGGAGGAACACCGAUGGCGAAGGCAGCCCCCUGGGUCAAAAACUGACGCUCAUGCACGAAAGCGUGGGGGAGCAAACAGG
rnacentral:rRNA from 1 species